GCUUUCGUGGUGUAGUGGUUAGCACGCCCGGCCCGUAUUCGAGAGGUCCGUGGUUCGAGUCCCGCCGAAGGCG
rnacentral:tRNA from 1 species